AAAUUUCUGUUCUUUAGUGGCACGAGAGAGAUGGCACAGUUGAACACUGGGCAGCACUGCCAGAUUUUCUUUCAUUUGUGUGUGAUACUCAGGAAUAUUUUGCCUUGAAUACAAAAGCUGGCGGCAGUCUCAUGGUUGUCCUGAGAUGACUGUAAUCAAUGAGAGACUGAAGACAUAAACAUAAAUUUUACCCAUGCUCAUUCAAGGACCGUGUUGAAAAACUUGUGGCAGUUAUACGUCCUUACUGUGAGAAUAAUUUUUGCCUGAGACACCAUCAUCAGUCAGAUCACAAGUGUGAAAAACUGGAAAUCCCAAAGCCUUACAUGACUGCCACUCAGUAACUUGUUAAAGACAUUGAUUCCAAAACAGGAGAGACAGCAAGCAAAGAAGGGAAAGGUGACAAAAAAUAGUGAAACAGCUGCAAAGGAAUUGCAUUGAAAUUGAGGAUAUAUGCUGAUGGAGAUAUAUCACUGCCACAGGGAGAAACUAUUUGCUUUCAAGUUUUCUUACCUAAGGGGAGCAAAGAGAAGGGCAAACCAAUGUUCUUUUCCAUGGAUGAAGCAUCAGAAAGGUCACAAACUUUGCCACUUCUCUGGCCAGUCUUAAAGCUUUGACAAAAUUAACAGCUAAGAAAUUAAGGUUGUGUCACAUUACUUCAGGAGAAGCCUUAUCCUUAGAACUUACUUUGGAAACCUGGAUUGCUAAAUUGGAUUGUCCUUUAUAAAAUGGUGGAAAUAAAAUCUUGGAGUAUCUUAAUGAUGAAUGAUAAUUUUGUAAAAAUGUUGAAUCUUACUUGG
rnacentral:lncRNA from 1 species